rnacentral:misc_RNA from 1 species
UCGAAUGCUUCUCGGCGAUCUUUGGGCCCUGGUUCUUUCUCUGCAUUGACUCCUCGUCCGUCGAAUCUUACUGGAGCUGAGAUAUACAGCUUGAGUUCAUCGAGAAAUCCAACUCCUAGAGGAUCUAAUUUUAACACUUCCGACUUUUAUAAUAUGAUGGGAGUUCAGGGAUUCCCUGGCGGAAGGCUAUCAAAUUUUGGCCCAGCAGACUUGUAUUCUGUACAAUCUUCAAGAGGUCCAACGCCUCGGCCCUCAAAUUUUGAAGAAAAUUGUGCUCCAAUGGCUACAAUUUCUUCUCCGAGAUUCGGGUUUUAUCCGGGGCAGACCGUACCAUCAUCUUACCCAGCACCAAAUACAGAAUUUUCUUCAACAGUCUCCACAAAGAACACCAAGAAUCAUCAGCAGCAGCACCAGCCUCAACAGCAGCA